GCCUGGGUAGCUCAGUUCGUUGAGCAUCUGACUUAGGUUCAGGUCAUGAUCUCGCAGUUCGUGGGUUCGAGCCCCGCGUUGGGCU
rnacentral:tRNA from 1 species